AGAGUUUGAUCCUGGCUCAGGAUGAACGCUAGCGAUAGGCUUAACACAUGCAAGUCGAGGGGCAGCAUGAUCUUAGCUUGCUAAGGUCGAUGGCGACCGGCGCACGGGUGCGUAACGCGUAUGCAACUUGCCUUACAGAGGGGGAUAACCCGUUGAAAGACGGACUAAAACCGCAUACACUUGUAUUAUUGCAUGAUAUUACAAGGAAAUAUUUAUAGCUGUAAGAUAGGCAUGCGUCCCAUUAGCUGGUUGGUGAGGUAACGGCUCACCAAGGCGACGAUGGGUAGGGGAACUGAGAGGUUGAACCCCCACACUGGUACUGAGACACGGACCAGACUCCUACGGGAGGCAGCAGUGAGGAAUAUUGGUCAAUGGGCGAGAGCCUGAACCAGCCAAGUCGCGUGAAGGAAGACAGUCCUAAGGAUUGUAAACUUCUUUUAUACGGGAAUAACGGGCGAUACGAGUAUUGCAUUGAAUGUACCGUAAGAAUAAGCAUCGGCUAACUCCGUGCCAGCAGCCGCGGUAAUACGGAGGAUGCGAGCGUUAUCCGGAUUUAUUGGGUUUAAAGGGUGCGUAGGUUGUUCGGUAAGUCAGCGGUGAAACCUGAACGCUCAACGUUCAGCCUGCCGUUGAAACUGCCGGGCUUGAGUUCAGUGGCGGCAGGCGGAAUUCGUGGUGUAGCGGUGAAAUGCAUAGAUAUCACGAGGAACUCCGAUUGCGAAGGCAGCUUGCCAUACUGCGACUGACACUGAAGCACGAAGGCGUGGGUAUCAAACAGGAUUAGAUACCCUGGUAGUCCACGCAGUAAACGAUGAUAACUGGGCGUAUGCGAUAUACAGUAUGCUCCUAAGCGAAAGCGUUAAGUUAUCCACCUGGGGAGUACGCCGGCAACGGUGAAACUCAAAGGAAUUGACGGGGGCCCG
rnacentral:rRNA from 1 species